GCCUAGUUAGCUUGGUUGGUAGCGUGUCUGCCUUGUAAGCGCUAGGCCGUGGGUUCGAUUCCCGCCCUCGGCG
rnacentral:tRNA from 1 species